rnacentral:lncRNA from 1 species
GAUGCAAUGAUCAACCUAUGCUCUAAACUUAACUUACUUUUGUAAGUAUACAUAUGGUAUGUAUAUGUAUAUGUGUGAGAGCACACAUUUCUAUAUAAAAUGUCCAAUAAGUGUUCCAAAAAAUUAAGUCGAACAAUUGACAAUUGAAAUAUUGGCUCUCAAAUUUAGAAUUAUCAGCAAAUUACGCAUAAAAAGAUUGUACAUGUAAAAAUCGAAAUAAAUAAAAAAAUUCGAAAAUUCUUGAUUAUUAUUAUUCUAUUAAAUAAAAAAAACGUUCAAAAGCGAC